rnacentral:rRNA from 1 species
AGUGAACGCUGGCGGUAGGCCUAACACAUGCAAGUCGAACGGCAGCACAGUAAGAGCUUGCUCUUACGGGUGGCGAGUGGCGGACGGGUGAGGAAUACAUCGGAAUCUACUUUUUCGUGGGGGAUAACGUAGGGAAACUUACGCUAAUACCGCAUACGACCUACGGGUGAAAGCAGGGGAUCUUCGGCCCUUGCGCGAUUGAAUGAGCCGAUGUGGGAUUAGUUAGUUGGGGGGGUAAAGGCCCACCAAGGCGACGACCCGUAGCUGGUCUGAGAGGAUAAUCAGCCACACUGGAACUGAGACACGGUCCAGACUCCUACGGGAGGCAGCAGUGGGGAAUAUUGGACAAUGGGCGCAAGCCUGAUCCAGCCAUACCGCGUGGGUGAAGAAGGCCUUCGGGUUGUAAAGCCCUUUUGUUGGGAAAGAAAAGCAGCAGGUUAAUACCCCGCUGUUCUGACGGUACCCAAAGAAUAAGCACCGGCUAACUUCGUG